CAACCCCAUGGCACCACCGGUGGCCCACGACAAACCCCCCCUCGGACGGCUCCACCCCAUGGUGGCCUGAUCACAAAAAAAAAGGUUGAAAACCUUACCUCCAACGGACGGUGGACGAUGGGAGCCGCGAUCGGCGGAUGGCGGACAAUGGGCACUGCAGUCGGCGGACACGGUCGGACAAUGGACGACGGUGAUGGAGAAAGGCUCGUCGGUGGGAAGAGAUGGAGGGGAGAGUA
rnacentral:lncRNA from 1 species